CCUACGGGUGGCAGCAGUGGGGAAUAUUGCACAAUGGGGGCAACCCUGACGCAGCGACGCCGCGUGAGCGAUGAAGUAUUUCGGUAUGUAAAGCUCUAUCAGCAGGGAAGAAAAUGACGGUACCUGACUAAGAAGCCCUGGCUAACUACGUGCCAGCAGCCGCGGUAAUACGGAGGGGGCACGCGUUAUCCGGAUUUACUGGGUGGAAAGGGAGCGUAGACGGCGGUGCAAGCCGGAUGUGAAAGCCCGGGGCUCAACCCCGGGGCUGCAUUUGAAACUGUGCAGCUAGAGUGUCGGAGAGGCAGGUGGAAUUCCAAGUGUAGCGGUGAAAUGCGUAGAUAUUAGGAGGAACACCAGUGGCGAAGGCGGCCUUCUGGACGAUGACUGACGUUGAGGCUCGAAAGCGUGGGGAGCAAACAGGAUUAGAUACCCGAGUAGUC
rnacentral:rRNA from 1 species